rnacentral:rRNA from 1 species
UAAACUAGGAUUAGAUACCCUAUUAWUUUGAAUGUAAAAAAAAUUACCAGGGUAGUAAUAGUUAUGUUCUUAAAACCCAAAGAAUUUGGCGGUGUUUUAGUCUAUUCAGAGGAAUUUGCCCUAUAAUCGAUAAUCCUCGUUAUAUCUUACUUUUAAUAGUAUUUCAAUUUGUAUACCGCCGUUAUAAGUUUAUUUUAUUAGGAAUUAUUAAUUUACUUUAAAUAUAAUUUUGUAUUAUUUCAGGUCAAGGUGCAGUUAAUAUAAAAGUGGAGGUGAAUUACAAUAUAAUUCGUGUAUACGGAUAUAUAAUUUAAAAUUAUAUUAAAGGUGGAUUUGAUAGUAAGUAUUUUUAUAAUUAAUUUUUGAUUUUAGCUCUAAAACAAGUACACAUCG